AGAGUGAACUAGCUAACUGAAAUCAUUAAUGUUUCCCCAGUGUUUCAUUAAUGAUGUCGUAAGGGAAAAUAAUGAUGAUACCUUACUAUGAGCGUUGUCCAAAUCUAGUGCCAGAAGACUCGGUAAGGCUAGGGACGCAAACGUUAACCGUAUUAAACAGGCGUAAAGGGUUUGUAGGCAGCUUUAAGUAUCCUAUUUUCCAAUAUAGCUGUACUUUUACAAAAAUUGUUUUAAUUAUAUUUUAUUAAAUUAUAAAAUAUAAAAAAAAAGACAAUCAUAAAGUAAUUGUAAAUACAAUAUAAUUAUAUUGUAGUUAAAGAGAAGAUCAAUUAAAGCUAGAAUCUAGCUGGGGAUAUAUAAAUAAUACUUAGAGUAGGGCUGAGAUCCGUAUAAACUAAGGGGAAUAUUAAAGGCGUAGGCUAUUUAUCCUUUAAAGAUUGACGCUGAGAAACGAAGGUGAGGAUAGGAAAUAGGAUUAGAGACCCAGGUACCCUCUCUGUCAACGAUGAAUGGUGGCUGCUAGAUAUAAUAAUUUAUUUAAAAUUAUGUUACAAAGAUCUGGUGGCGAUGUUAAGGCGAUAACCAUUCCGCCUUGUGAGUACGGCUGCAAAGCUGAAAUCAAAAAAUUAGUCGGUCUCGA
rnacentral:rRNA from 1 species